rnacentral:rRNA from 1 species
UACGGAGGGUGCAAGCAUUAAUCGGAUUUAUUGGGCGUAAAGGGCGCGUAGGCUGGGAUGUAAGUUAGAUGUGAAAGACCGAAACUCAACUUCGGACACGCAUUUAAAACUACAUCUCUAGAGAGUAAACGGAGAAAAGGGAAUUCCACGUGUAGCGGUGAAAUGCGUAGAUAUGUGGAAGAACACCGGUGGCGAAGGCGCUUUUCUAGUUUAUUUCUGACGCUGAGGCGCGAAAGCGAGGGGAGCAAACAGG